AUUGAACGCUGGCGGCAGGCCUAACACAUGCGAGUCGAGCGGAUGAAGGGAGCUUGCUCCUGGAUUCAGCGGCGGACGGGUGAGUAAUGCCUAGGAAUCUGCCUGGUAGUGGGGGAUAACGUCCGGAAACGGGCGCUAAUACCGCAUACGUCCUGAGGGAGAAAGUGGGGGAUCUUCGGACCUCACGCUAUCAGAUGAGCCUAGGUCGGAUUAGCUAGUUGGUGGGGUAAAGGCCUACCAAGGCGACGAUCCGUAACUGGUCUGAGAGGAUGAUCAGUCACACUGGAACUGAGACACGGUCCAUACUCCUACGGGAGGCAGCAGUGGGGAAUAUUGGACAAUGGGCGAAAGCCUGAUCCAGCCAUGCCGCGUGUGUGAAGAAGGUCUUCGGAUUGUAAAGCACUUUAAGUUGGGAGGAAGGGCAGUAAGUUAAUACCUUGCUGUUUUGACGUUACCAACAGAAUAAGCACCGGCUAACUUCGUG
rnacentral:rRNA from 1 species